UAGAUGAUUGGUUGGUGGGCUAUCGCACCGUGCGCUAUCGGAUUCCGUCCACUGCAUAGGAUAAGAUAAGGAGUCGUGGUCAUAUAAGAAAAACUGUUUUUCUUUAAUUUAUGUAUAAAUCAUUUGUUUUUUACAUAUUCCUAAGAGAUUGGCGAAAAUUAAUACUAAAAAUGAUAAUAUAGGUUAUCACAACUUAUAUUAUCUUGAGAGUAUAAAACCUAUUCUACUUUAUAUAAAAUAUAUUAAAGCUUGCAAAUUAUUUGAUUAAUAUAUAGACAAACAGAAACGUUUUAUUAAUAUGUAUAAUAUAUAGAUUUGUGUGUUUUAAUCAUAAAUUAAAAUUGUUUUUUUCAGAUCAACUGGAAGAGAGUUAUACUUAUUGAAGCUUGUAUAGUAAGAAACCACAAGAGUCAACAAUCCGUAGACUUGUAUCGAGCAAACGAUGGGCUCUCACUGACACACCUAUACAAAAUAAAGAAUUAGAUUUAUAUGCUAUUUUGAAGUAUCUUCUAAAUGCUCACCGUUCGACGAUCUAUUCGUUUGGAAGAGAUGGUUGAAUAAUAAGAAUGCUGCAGGACAUCAAAGAUUAGCAACAGUCAUGACAUUAAUGUUGAGAAGAAUUAAACAAACAUUGAUAGCAAAAGGUUAGAGUUAGAAAGUUUACCUGAUAAAUCUAUCAAAGAAGUAAUUGUGCAACUUGACAGUCAGGAGCAAUUAGUGAACAAAAAAAUUUUAAUUUAUUUGUGUACUCUGUUUGCUCAAUUCUUUGCUCAAUGUGCGGAGAAAGAACAUAAGUACAAUUUGUACAGUAGAAAAUAUAAUAAGCCUGCUUAUCUUUUAAACCCAAAUAAAAAGACUCAAUUUAUGAAAGCGCAAAAUAAAUUGUUGGCGAUGCAUGCCAACGUUAAAACACAAGAGAUUUGUGUUUCUACUACGAUUGCAUCAGAUAUGUUGCCACCUGGCAUUGAUCCAUGCAAAGUUAGAUUAAGAAGACGUUGUACAAAGUGGCAUAAUGCUAUGGAAAACUUGAAUUCUGAUUUAUUGUCCCGAAUGAACAACAUCACUUAAUGGAAUUAAUAAUGUCAAAAAAGAUGAUGCAGAAGAAAGAAACAUUAGUAUUGAUGAAAGAGUAAUUGGAAAUCUACUCACUGUGAAUCCAGUGUUGGAUAAUGACUAUGAGUUCGAAGAUGGAGAUAUUACUUAAUACGAUUAAAGAAAUUUUACAAAACAGUAAUGAUAAACUUAUCAUUGUUUCACGAGCACUAAGAUAAAUGCGCUACCAGCCUUUCAGCAAGAAAACACACGCUCUCUUGCCAAACUUGGGUCCCCAAACACAUAAACUUUAUUUAUUUUCAACUUCUUUUUUAUUAUCAGGUUCUUUAAAACUAAACAAAUACAUUGUUAGCUGAUUUUGCUAGCUUAUGGAUAUCUUUGUCAAGAUAUUAUGCAUAUCUCAGAUAUCAAAUGAUUGUAUUACAUGCACACAAUAUUCAACCAUAUAAUAUCCAUUCUUGCAAGAUUAGUAAUAUUGAACUACUUUACCAUUAUAUUCUGUCAAAUAUCUCAUAACUAAAUAUUACUUCUGUGUUUGCAUCUAAUAAAAUGCUUGUCGCCACAAA